rnacentral:lncRNA from 1 species
AUAAAAAGUUAAUCCAGUAGGAGCCAGUAGUUUUCCCCCCUGAGUGAACUAGAUUAUCUUCCCCCACCCAUCCACUCAAGUCUACCUUUAAGCUCUAAUCGACUUUCACCUCUGAUACUGUCUCCAUUCUGAAUGGCAGGGCUGCAGUCCCUUGGCCACUGUCUCAGCCGGGCUACUCAGGAACUAUAGAGGAAAGCGCUGCCUCUAAUUCUGAUCCAGGAACCUUCUUGAGAUUUUUACCUGGGGGCUAACCAAGAACAUAAUGUGUUCUUCUGUGGGCUGACUAAGGCCAAAAAGGUUGUAAAAUGAAACACCUGAAAUCAUAUUACGUUUCCUUACAAUUGCAGCUCAGAAAUAACUAGAGGCUUUCUGUCCAGAGGAUUCUGUCCAGAGAACAUGGCAGGCAGGCCUGGAGUAGGGGCUUCACAUGAUGGCAGCAAGUUUUUUCAAAUCUAAUACAAGCAAGUAUAAUCCUCCCGUUAAAUACUUCUGUAGCCCUGGUACUAAAGGUCCCUGGACUAGAAGGAAUUGUUUCUCCAUGUCACCUACAUUUGUGCUAUGUUGAUCUUCGAAGCAAUCUUCAGGCUACACAAAAGGGAAACUGAAAAAUUUAACUGUGCUGUCAGCCAAGUCAGGGAGAAACUAGAGAAGCCUUGAGACUUCUUUGGUAGGGUUUGUUUCCAUUUUCACUUUGUCCAAGUUUCCCUGUUAGCCAUGGAUACAGUUGAGCACCUUUAAAUGUUUAAGGGCUGUUUUUUUUCUUCAUAUGAUGUUCAGCUUGGUGUUGGCUAACCUUUCUUUUUCCCUAGAGAUAUUAAAAUUUAGAGUUAAGGCAGGAUGAAGUCUUUUCCUAUGAAUGUGUCUGCUUACCUCAUUAUGGCUCAUGCUUCUAAUUCCUUUGCCUAUCUGUGCUAUUUUAUGUUCUUGGAAAGGUUUAAGUAUAGUAUAAAAUUAGUCUGGCACUUUAGGUAACUUGAAGAUACUUACUCUUCUGGCUGCCUUUCAU